AACACUGGGGUACUGUUCAGUUCUGCUGACAAGUUGUAUGCUGAGCAGUUUUUGUCCUUGUUUUUUGUUUAUUUCAUAUUAGCUCUAGAGGACACAAUCCCAGUCCUUGGCACAAACUCAGGAAAUGGAAGCCGGAGUCUGUUUUUUGUGGGGCUGCUAAUUGUGCUGAUUGUCAGCCUGGCACUGGUUUUUUUCGUGAUAUUUCUAAUAGUUCAAACUGGAAACAAGAUGGAUGAUGUGUCAAGAAGACUAACAGCUGAAGGAAAAGACAUAGAUGAUCUUAAGAGAAUCAAUAACAUGAUCGUAAAGCGACUCAACCAACUCAACCAACUGGACUCUGAACAAAACUAAAGAAAUGAUUUUCUGAAAGCACCUGCUAACACCUUGAGCUUCUUACUUUCCUGGGAGUGUACAGGGUUAGGAAUUGAGAAAGUGCACUUCUUCAGGCAACAGAUGAUCUGGUCAGGGAACUCAUCCCUGGGG
rnacentral:sRNA from 1 species